AGUGAACGCUGGCGGUAGGCCUAACACAUGCAAGUCGAACGGCAGCACAGUAAGAGCUUGCUCUUACGGGUGGCGAGUGGCGGACGGGUGAGGAAUACAUCGGAAUCUACUUUUUCGUGGGGGAUAACGUAGGGAAACUUACGCUAAUACCGCAUACGACCUACGGGUGAAAGCAGGGGAUCUUCGGACCUUGCGCGAUUGAAUGAGCCGAUGUCGGAUUAGCUAGUUGGCGGGGUAAAGGCUCACCAAGGCGACGAUCCGUAGCUGGUCUGAGAGGAUGAUCAGCCACACUGGAACUGAGACACGGUCCAGACUCCUACGGGAGGCAGCAGUGGGGAAUAUUGGACAAUGGGCGAAAGCCUGAUCCAGCCAUACCGCGUGGGUGAAGAAGGCCUUCGGGUUGUAAAGCCCUUUUGUUGGGAAAGAAAAGCAGCAGGUUAAUACCCCGCUGUUCUGACGGUACCCAAAGAAUAAGCACCGGCUAACUUCGUG
rnacentral:rRNA from 1 species